rnacentral:rRNA from 1 species
UACGUAGGGGCCUAGCGUUGUCCGGAUUUAUUGGGCGUAAAGAGCUCGUAGGCGGCUAUUCAAGUCAGAGGUGAAAGCCCGGGGCUCAACCCCGGAACUGCCUUUGAAACUAGAUAGCUAGAAUCACGGAGAGGUAAGUGGAAUUCCGAGUGUAGAGGUGAAAUUCGUAGAUAUUCGGAAGAACACCAGUGGCGAAGGCGGCUUACUGGACGUGAAUUGACGCUGAGGUGCGAAAGCGUGGGGAGCAAACAGG